rnacentral:rRNA from 1 species
CCUACGGGUGGCAGCAGUGAGGAAUAUUGGUCAAUGGACGAGAGUCUGAACCAGCCAAGUAGCGUGAAGGAUGACUGCCCUAUGGGUUGUAAACUGCUUUUAGAUGGGAAUAAAAUGGUCCACGUGUGUGAUUUUGUAUGUGUCAUAUGAAUAAGGAUCGGCUAACUUCGUGCCAGCAGCCGCGGUAUUAUGGAGGAUCCGAGGGUGUUCCGGGUUUAUUGGGUUUAAAGGGAGCGUAGGGGGAUUGUUAAGUCAGUUGUGAAAGUUCGCGGCUCAACCGUAAAAUUGCAGUUGAAACUGGCAGUCUUGAGUACAGUAGAGGUGGGCGGAAUUCGUGGUGUAGCGGUGAAAUGCUUAGAUAUCACGAAGAACUCCGAUUGCGAAGGCAGAUGACUGGACUGCAACUGACACUGAGGCUCGAAAGUGUGGGUAUCAAACAGGAUUAGAUACCCUUGUAGUC